AGCAGCAUGGCGCAGUUGGAAGCGCGCGGGGCCCAUACAUACUCCUUGAAAGUUGUCACCCCGAGGUCACUUGAUCGAAACAAGUUGCUGCUA